GCGGGUGUAGCUCAAUGGUAGAGCAGAAGCCUUCCAAGCUUAUUACGGGGGUUCGAUUCCCCUCACCCGCUCCA
rnacentral:tRNA from 1 species